ensembl:lncRNA
AACGGUAACUUCGCAGAUCUUUCAAAAUAAAAGCAGUUCAAGCGUAUUGCUUGCAUGUAUUGUGAUGACAUAUAUUUGCACUGACUUUUCAUAUUUUCCAAUGACCUCAUAUGGGCCAGUCAGGGUCAUCCGAGGGGCCAGAUGUGGCCCGCGGGCCGUAGGAUGCCCAGGUAGAUCCAGGUGAGUCCAGAUGCGGCGCUCGGUGUCCGAGGCCUUGUGGGCCGUGUGUGCAGCCGACUCCAUGUCCAUGCCGGUCCACUGGUACUACAACGUCCAGGACAUCUGCAGGGACUUUGGAGGCUGGAUCUCAGGCUUCAGUUCCCCCCGAGACAGACACCCGUCCAGCAUCCUCAGCAUGUCCAACACCGCUGGCAGCGGUCGCUCUGCCUGGUCUUCCGGCUCCAAACGUCCUGAUGUGGUCGGAAACAUCAUCCUCCACGACAAACUGGACUUAUGGAAGUCCUCCAGAGGCUCCGUACACUACCACCAGGGUCUCCAGGCUGGAGAGAACACACUGAACGUUCUGUGUUCUCUGAGAGCUGCUCGGACUCUGGUUUCUGGAAGGUUCUCCGAUGUUUCCCGUCCGGAGCCUCGAGGCGCAGUGUUGGCCGACUACGUCCAAUUCCUGACCACGCCCGGAUCGCACAACGACUCGUACGCCGAGUCCUUCCACCGGGCGUUCUUCUCCGACUGGCAGGAGGACCGGCUGAUGGCACCAAGCGACAUCCUGGUGUUUGCUGAGGAACGUUCUCGGUUGAAGCUUAGCUCUUCAUUCCCUGACAGUCAGCUGGACGCCAUCGGCUGCCUUCCCAUGAUCCUCCCCUUCGUCCUGCUGUCGGCUUCAGCCAAUGAGGAGCGAGCUGUGUCGGCGGCGGUGGACUUCGUGAAGCUCACCCAUCCUCACCCCAGAGUUCCUGAGUAUGUGUCGAUCUACAGCCGGGCACUGCACGCUGUGGUGGGCGGAGCCAGCGUCCGCCAGCAGGCCGAGCGUGCUCUGAAGGCGCUGGACACCUGGGACACCUGCCAGAGCUUCAUGCAGAAGGCGGCCAGGUUCCCUGAUUCCUCUGAGGACAGACUGAAGGUCCAUCAGAAUGCUGUGAACCACCUCGGCCUUGCCUGCUACACUAAAGGAGCUCUGUCCAGUUUGUUCUAUUUGGCCCAUGAGUUCCACGAUGACCUCAGAGGAGGGAUCCUGACAAACACCAACUGUGGAGGUGAGAACUGUAACCGCGGGGCGGCCCUUGGAGCUCUACUCGGAGCUUCCGGGCCUCAAAGUGGCGGCGUUCCUCAGCAGUGGAAGGAUGAGCUGAGAGACGGACAGGAGUUCAUCCCUGACAUCCUGAAGGAGCUGCAAUAAGGCAGCAUCGCCCCCCAGAGGACUGGAGGAGAACUACAGUGAGGCAGCGUCGCCCCCUGGAGGACUGGAGGGGAACUACAGUGAGGCAGCGUCGCCCCCUGGAGGACUGGAGGGGAACUACAACGGUUUACAAUCACUCAGCUUUGAUUCCACAUCUCUGUAUGAUGAUUACUGAUUACUUUGGUUUUUGUACAAUGACAUCAUAUGAACUAUUAAACAUUAUUAAAUUAUACAUAUUUAUUAUUUGUGCCUUGAUUUGACCUGUUUGAAGCACCAGCAGCCUUUAAAGAACAAUAAAAACCUAAAGUGGAC